GAUGAACGCUGGCGGCGUGCCUAAUACAUGCAAGUCGAGCGAACAGACGAGGAGCUUGCUCCUCUGACGUUAGCGGCGGACGGGUGAGUAACACGUGGAUAACCUACCUAUAAGACUGGGAUAACUUCGGGAAACCGGAGCUAAUACCGGAUAAUAUAUUGAACCGCAUGGUUCAAUAGUGAGAGACGGUUUUGCUGUCACUUAUAGAUGGAUCCGCGCCGCAUUAGCUAGUUGGUAAGGUAACGGCUUACCAAGGCAACGAUGCGUAGCCGACCUGAGAGGGUGAUCGGCCACACUGGAACUGAGACACGGUCCAGACUCCUACGGGAGGCAGCAGUAGGGAAUCUUCCGCAAUGGGCGAAAGCCUGACGGAGCAACGCCGCGUGAGUGAUGAAGGUCUUCGGAUCGUAAAACUCUGUUAUUAGGGAAGAACAAAUGUGUAAGUAACUAGGCACGUCUUGACGGUACCUAAUCAGAAAGCCACGGCUAACUACGUGC
rnacentral:rRNA from 1 species